rnacentral:rRNA from 1 species
AGCGAACGCUGGCGGCAGGCUUAACACAUGCAAGUCGAGCGGGCACUUUCGGGUGUCAGCGGCGGACGGGUGAGUAACGCGUGGGAACGUGCCCUCUGGUUCGGAAUAACUCAGGGAAACUUGAGCUAAUACCGGAUACGCCCUUUUGGGGAAAGGCUUGCUGCCGGAGGAUCGGCCCGCGUCUGAUUAGCUAGUUGGUGAGGUAACGGCUCACCAAGGCGACGAUCAGUAGCUGGUCUGAGAGGAUGAUCAGCCACACUGGGACUGAGACCCGGCCCAGACUCCUACGGGAGGAAGCAGUGGGGAAUAUUGGACAAUGGGCGCAAGCCUGAUCCAGCCCUGCCGCGUGAGUUAUGAAGGGCUUAGGGUUGUAAAGCCCUUUUAACCGGGACGAUAAUGACGGUAACGGAGGAAUAAGCCCCGGCUAACUUCGUG